GUGGGGAAUAUUGCACAAUGGGGGAAACCCUGAUGCAGCAACGCCACGUGUGGGAAGAAGCAUUUCGGUGUGUAAACCACUGUCAUGAGGGAAUAAGGCCCGCCUUCGGGCGGGAUUGAAUGUACCUUGAGAGGAAGCACCGGCAAACUUCGUGCCAGCAGCCGCGGUAAUACGAGGGGUGCAAGCGUUGUUCGGAAUUACUGGGCGUAAAGGGAGCGUAGGCGGAGAUUCAAGCGGAUUGUACAAUCCCGGGGCCCAACCCCGGCUCUGCAGUCCGAACUGGAUCUCUUGGAUAGUUCAGGGGCAGGCGGAAUUCCUGGUGUAGCGGUGGAAUGCGUAGAGAUCAGGAAGAACACCGAUGGCGAAGGCAGCCUGCUGGGGACUCAUCGACGCUGAGGCUCGAAAGUGCGGGUAGCAAACAGG
rnacentral:rRNA from 1 species